AACGAACGCUGGCGGCAGGCUUAACACAUGCAAGUCGAGCGCCCCGCAAGGGGAGCGGCAGACGGGUGAGUAACGCGUGGGAAUCUACCCAUCUCUACGGAAUAACGCAUGGAAACGUGUGCUAAUACCGUAUACGUCCCUCGGGAGAAAGAUUUAUCGGAGAUGGAUGAGCCCGCGUUGGAUUAGCUAGUUGGGGAGGUAAAGGCCUACCAAGGCGACGAUCUGUAGCUGGUCUGAGAGGAUGAUCAGCCACACUGGGACUGAGACACGGCCCAGACUCCUACGGGAGGCAGCAGUUAGGAAUCCUGGACAAUGGGCGCAAGCCUGAUCCAGCCAUGCCGCGUGAGUGAUGAAGGCCUUAGGGUUGUAAAGCUCUUUCAGCGGGGAAGAUAAUGACGGUACCCGCAGAAGAAGCCCCGGCUAACUUCGUGCCAGCCGCCGCUGUAAGAC
rnacentral:rRNA from 1 species